UACAGAGGGUGCCAAGCGUUGUUUCGGAAUUAUUUGGGCGUAAAGGGGCGCGUAGGCGGUGCGGUAAGUCUGUAGUGAAAUCUCUGGGCUCAACUCAGAGUCUGCUAUAGAAACUGCCGUGCUCGAGUGUGGGAGAGGUGAGUGGAAUUUCCCGGUGUAGCGGUGAAAUUGCGUAGAUAUCGGGAAGGAACACCUGUGGCGGAAAAGCGGCUCACUGGACCACAACUGACGCUGAUGCGCGAAAAGCUAGGGGAGCAAACA
rnacentral:rRNA from 1 species